UAUUAUUGGUGGUGUUAAUAAUUUACUAUAAUAUUAUUAGAUGAGGUCUUUAAAUUUAAAUUAUUUGGCGGCAUUUUAGUCUUUUUAGAGGAAUCUGUUCUGUAAUCGAUAAUCCACGUUGGACCUUACUUGAUUUAAUGUUUAUAUAUCGUCGUUUUAAUAAUUUUGUUAGGAUAAUAAAUUUUUAUUUAAUAUAAUUUUAUAGUAUGUCAGAUCAAGGUUUAAUUUAUAAUUAAGUAGAAAUGGAUUACAAUAUUAGGUAGGUAUAUGGAUUUAGUUGUUAAGUUGAUUUAUGAAGGUGGAUUUAAAUGUAAUUAUUUUUAUAAUUAUGUAGUGAAUAGGGCUCUAGAAUGUGUACAUAUUGCCCGUCACUCUCAUAUUUUAAUGGG
rnacentral:rRNA from 1 species